rnacentral:lncRNA from 1 species
GUAAGUGAAAUAUAAUUAUAUACUUUUGGUGUCCUCUACACCAGAUUUAGCAACCCAACAAAUUGAUAUGUAGACAAAGUUAUCACAAAUUUUAAAUUUGGUUUAAUAUGUUACAUCAACUUUUAUCAGUGCAGCUAAAUUCUUUUUGUCGGUUGACCUGCUCGUCGGUUGAUUCUGAUGACAAGUUCUAGCUCUAUCUGUCUCUUCAUGACUCCGUCCUAUUUCUUGGUUCUCUAGAACGUGCUCCGUCAAAACAGAGGGGACCCUACCUGUUGAUUGCACUCCGACGAUCAGGUCAGUACAUGAUUUAUAAGAAUUUAAGAAGUAAUCAGUUUCAGUUUUAGAAACAGCGUACCUUAACCUUGGAUCUCAAGUCCCUUUUAUAGUUUACCUCUUAUAACAACUUUCUAUCACGAGAAUAUAAUAUCAACUGAAAUCAUACUCAACAGGAAAAUAUUCUACUCAAGGGCACACUCUCACGGUGCUGCAACGGAGUGAAAUCUUUCCUUCAUGGAGUGCAUAAAAUUAUAACAGAAUAACCAUCAGGGUACCAACUCAUGUACCAGCAUCAGGGGUCCAAUCUGUUUACGUAGCCACCCUCAGUGUGGUGCUACGCUAUCUUUUGAACACAUGCAACCUAACAUCUAUGUGCCCUAGCACACAUGGACUUAGGUUUAAAAGGAAACAUUUGCUUAAGCUAGACCUCCUGCGCACUAAGCACACCCGUAAGUCUAUAAAUAUCAUUUGCUGACCGCCUAGGCCUUAUGCACGAAGGGUUGCACUAAGCAUGUUAAAAAGACUAAAACAUACAUCCAGGGCCCAAUCACACGCCAGCCAGGCCCAAGAGCCGAGCUGACCUGCCUAUGACAAAUGCUGAGAUCUGA